UCGGUCAUAUGUCUGCCUGAUU
rnacentral:miRNA from 4 species